rnacentral:rRNA from 1 species
ACGGCUCAGUAACACGUAGUCAACCUAACCUAUGGACGGGGAUAAUCUCGGGAAACUGAGCAUAAUACCCGAUAGAACAUUAUGCCUGGAAUGGUUUAUGUUCCAAAUGAUUUAUCGCCGUAGGAUGGGACUGCGGCCUAUCAGUUUGUUGGUGAGGUAAUGGCCCACCAAGACUAUUACAGGUACGGGCUCUGAGAGGAGUGGCCCGGAGAUGGGUACUGAGACACGGACCCAGGCCCUAUGGGGCGCAGCAGGCGAGAAAACUUUGCAAUGUGCGAAAGCACGACAAGGUUAAUCCGAGUGGUUUCUGCUAAAGGAACCUUUUGUCGGUCCUAGAAACACCGAUGAAUAAGGGGUGGGCAAGUUCUGGUGUCAGCCGCCGCGGUAAAACCAGCACCUCAAGUGGUCAGGAUGAUUAUUGGGCCUAAAGCAUCCGUAGCCGGCUUUGUUAGUUUUCGGUUAAAUCUGUACGCUUAACGUACAGGCUGCCGGGAAUACUGCAGAGCUAGGGAGUGGGAGAGGUAGACGGUACUCGGUAGGAAGGGGUAAAAUCCUUUGAUCUAUUGAUGACCACCUGUGGCGAAGGCGGUCUACCAGAACACGUCCGACGGUGAGGGAUGAAAGCUGGGGGAGCAAACCGGAUUAGAUACCCGGGUAGUCCCAGCUGUAAACCAUGCAAACUCAGUGAUGCAUUGGCUUGUGGCCAAUGCAGUGCUGCANGGAAGCCGUUAAGUUUGCCGCCUGGGGAAGUACGUACGCAAGUAUGAAACUUAAAGGAAUUGGCGGGGGAGCACCACAAGGGGUGAAGCCUGCGGUUC